AAAAAAAAGUUUGGAAAAAUUUGGCUACUAACCUAAAAGGCUUUAUGACUAAAUGAUGUAUUGGUGGAGAAAUUAUGUUGGGGCAUUGGAGGAGAUUAAAGAGGUGUUCGCGAGUCCUGCAAUGAGAACAUGGGUAUUUUCAUCGAAUUCUCCUUUUCCUUGGUUUACCAGCGUAUCCUUGACGGCUUCUCUUAUUCUCCUGCCCGCCAUUGUUAGAAGCUGGAGCUAAGGUAUUGUGAGCCUGAACUAUGCUCUCCUCUAUGGCGUUCUCC